rnacentral:rRNA from 1 species
UACGUAGGUGGCAAGCGUUACUCGGAAUCACUAGGCGUAAAGCGCAGGUAGGCGGUUCGGUAAGUCUCUUGUGAAAGCUCCCGGCUCAACUGGGAGAGGUCAAGGGAAACUACCGGGCUAGAGUGUGGCAGAGGAAGCUGGAAUUCCCGGUGUAGCGGUGAAAUGCGUAGAUAUCUGGAGGAAUACCGGUGGCGAAGGCGGCAUCCUGGACCGACAUUGACGCUGAACGGCGAAAGCUAGGGGAGCAAACGGG